GCUUUAUUCUGGAUGGUAAUAGAAAUGUGUUAAGAAAUGUGGUUGGUGUGCAUAGGUGUACCACCAGUCUUAAGGAUGAAGCAAAUGAGGCCUAAGUUUUCUAGUCGGAUUGAAGCUUGUUUGGGAGGGGAAAACACAUCAAAAGGAAAGAUCUGACAAGAAGCUACACAAUAAAUAUGGAUUGUGACUAAUGUCAUGUGAAUGUGGCCUCUGUAGCUACCACAGAAGCCACUGGAUCAAGAGGGCUUCAGAGGAGGGAGGGAAGGAGAGAGGGACAGAGGCCAGUGUUGCCCACAGCACCCCUGACCAUCCUUCAAGGCAUCCCAGGGUGCUACAGCACACUGGCUGAAAACCACUGAUCUAGUUCAUUGGCCGCCCCUUUCAUUUCACAUGGGCUGUCUGUUUGCAGUAAGAGUCUUUCAUAUAAUAAUAAUAAUAAUAAUAAUAAUAAUAAUAAUAAUAAUAAUAAUUUAUUUGUACCCCGCCCAUCUGGCUGGGUCUCCCCAGCCACUCUGGGCGGCUUCCAACAAUGAUUAAAAAUACAUUAAAAUGUCACACAUUAAAAACUUCCCUAAACAUUGUUUAAAAACAAUGAGAACUGGUGGCUGCUUUGGUAUAAUAAUGCAGCUGUGAAAUGUAAUGCAGAAACAUUGCCGCACCCCUAGGGAGGGUCCACUGUGGCCCCUGAAACGACUGCAAUGGCCAGCCCAUAGGAUAUAAAGUAUUCAAAAAGGUUGUCACAGCAUAGUUUUGUAGGGAAAUUGGCCUACGCAAUUGGAAUGAGAAUAUACAAAAUGCUCUAAAUGGCACCUCUACAUGUGGUGCAUUGCAAAAAUGGUUUCAUGAACCAGCCUUUAAUAGCUCCAAAACUGCUGAGAGAAUCUAAUUUGGGAGAGGAGGGUAGUUUGCUGCUUUCUUGCUCCUGGUCUGUGUGAUUGCCAGUCUACUUGUUUAACACACCUCAUGCAAUUCACCUUUUAAAACAGAUUUUAAUUAACUUGCUUACUAGGAAAGGACGCAUUUCGCUCAGCAUGGCCCCUGCAUUAACAUUUAACAGUUCCCACCUGGCAUAAGAUCAUACCCUCCAACAUUUCUCAGAGAAAAUAGGAACGUCCUAAGCAAAGUGGGACAUUUCCAGGAUCAAAUCAGAAACCGGGACAGUUUCUGUAAAUCCGAAACUGUCCCUGGAAAAUGUCUGCAAGAUGAAUUAACCUAAUAGUGCCAACUGGGCAGAUUCAGGCCGCAAUCCUAUACAGUGGUACCUCAGGUUACAUACACUUCAGGUUACAUACGCUUCAGGUUACAGACUCCACUAAUCCAGAAAUAUUACCUCACGUUAAGAACUUUGCUUCAGGAUGAGAACAGAAAUCGUGCUCUGGUGGCGCAGCAGCAGCAGGAGGCCCCAUUAGCUAAAGUGGUGCUUCAGGUUAAGAACAGUUUCAAGUUAAGAAUGAACCUCUGGAAUGAAUUAAGUACUUAACCCGAAGUACUACUGUACCCUUUUAUCUGGGAAGAAGCCCUACUGAGUUCACACUGGGGUGUGAGUACACAUGUAUAGGACUGCACUGUUAAACAGGAUUAUCAUGGAUCACAGGGAAAACGCAAGAAGAAUAACUGAUUGUGUCAUGCAGGCCCACAUUCAAAUGAGCAUGAAUGAGACAUGUGAUCUUACAUUAAAUGCUGAAAAUCUUUGUUUCUUAAUUUUAACUUACCCUAAGUGCUAGGAAAAUGACAUGGUAGUUCUGCAUGCAUUAAACACAAUGUGCUGCUGCUUUCUUCACAGUAGGCAAUGGCUGCCUUCUCUCUCGCUUACACCAGCUCUCUAAUGUAUCGAGAACUUUGCUCUUUAAUAUUUUUACCAAGAAUGCUCUGAAGCAGAGCAACUGGAGGACAGAAAGGUGGCACUCCAAAAUGACUUAGGAAAGAGGAGUGUGUCUUGAGCCAAAACAAAAUAUCCACCCAACAUCUCUUUCUCUCAAUUUUCUGUUUUAUUAUUUGAACAAAAAAAGAAUUAUUAUUACAGUGGUACCUCAGGCUACAGACGCUUCAGGUUACAGACUCCGCUAACCCAGAGAUAGUACCUCGGGUUAAGAACUUUGCUUCAGGAUGAGAACAGAAAUCGGGUGUGGCCCCAUUAGCUGGUACCUCAGGUUAAGAACAGUUUCAGGUUAAGAACAGACCUCCAGAAUGAAUUAAGUUCUUAACCCGAGGUACUACUGUAUUAUUAUUAUUUUGCAAGGCAACUUAUAGUUCUGGUACUCAUUUAUGUUUCUUGUAGGGUCAGGGACUGGCUGGAUGAGGAAGAGUGGUGGGUGUCGCCCACUGAAGAGCCCCCCAGUGAGGACACAGAAAAAGAUGACUUAGACCCCAGACUUAGAUAUAAAGGAGUCAGAAGUUGCCCUUGCUACCCAGCAGCACAGUCCCAGUCCUGCUGGCUUUCCUCCCUGCCUCACACCACGCUUGGGGAGAGUCCUGCAUGUUGCUGAGCAAUGGGUCAGACAGGCCCAGAGGAGGAGCCCACCCCCUCGCCGCAGUCUCCAAAUGCUUAGGAGGCCAGUGGUCAGUUUCAGCAAUGUCUCCAGCUAUAGGAGAUGAGCCACAGGAACUCUGCUGUGUUGUCACUUUCUGUGAAUAAAAGCUAAUUGCAUUUCGUG